rnacentral:rRNA from 1 species
CCUACGGGGGGCUGCAGUGGGGAAUAUUGGACAAUGGGGGCAACCCUGAUCCAGCCAUGCCGCGUGUGUGAAGAAGGCCCUCGGGUUGUAAAGCACUUUCAGUGAGGAAGAACGCCUGGUGGUUAAUACCCAUCAGGAAAGACAUCACUCACAGAAGAAGCACCGGCUAACUCCGUGCCAGCAGCCGCGGUAAUACGGAGGGUGCGAGCGUUCAUCGGAAUUACUGGGCGUAAAGCGCGCGUAGGUGGCUUGAUAAGCCGGUUGUGAAAGCCCCGGGCUCAACCUGGGAACGGCAUCCGGAACUGUCAAGCUAGAGUGCAGGAGAGGAAGGUAGAAUUCCCGGUGUAGCGGUGAAAUGCGUAGAGAUCGGGAGGAAUACCAGUGGCGAAGGCGGCCUUCUGGACUGACACUGACACUGAGGUGCGAAAGCGUGGGUAGCAAACAGGAUUAGAUACCCGAGUAGUC